GGUCUGAUGGCGUAGUUGGUUAUCGCAUCUGUCUAACACACAGAAGGUCUCCUGUUCGAACCAGCGUCAGAUCA
rnacentral:tRNA from 1 species